GACGUAGGGGGCAAGCGUUGUUCGGAAUUAUUGGGCGUAAAGCGCGUGUAGGCUGCCUUGUAAGUCGGAUGUGAAAGCCCCGGGCUCAACCUGGGAAGUGCAUUCGAAACUGCGAGGCUUGAGUCCUGGAGAGGAAGGCGGAAUUCUCGGUGUAGAGGUGAAAUUCGUAGAUAUCGAGAGGAACACCGGUGGCGAAGGCGGCCUUCUGGACAGUGACUGACGCUGAGACGCGAAAGCGUGGGGAGCAAACAGG
rnacentral:rRNA from 1 species